rnacentral:tRNA from 1 species
GGAAAGUGUACCGGCCGCGGGGCCGGCGCCGGUUGCUAGCCGGAUGGUGCUGCGGCACGAGGUUCGACUCCUCCGCUUUCCGCCA